rnacentral:piRNA from 1 species
UGCUGCGCACAGGCUCUGGUGAAAUGG